rnacentral:rRNA from 1 species
UACGUAGGGGGCAAGCGUUGUCCGGAUUUACUGGGCGUAAAGAGCGCGCAGGCGGUCGUUCAAGUCGAGUGUGAAAGCCCCCGGCUCAACUGGGGAGGGUCACUCGAUACUGAUCGACUCGAAGGCAGGAGAGGGUAGUGGAAUUCCCGGUGUAGUGGUGAAAUGCGUAGAUAUCGGGAGGAACACCAGUGGCGAAGGCGACUACCUGGCCUGUUCUUGACGCUGAGGCGCGAAAGCUAGGGGAGCAAACGGG